rnacentral:rRNA from 14 species
GAAGCGAAAGCGAGUCUGAAUAGGGCGCUAUAGUUAGUAGUGGUAGACGCGAAACCGUGUGAUCUACCCAUGGGCAGGGUGAAGCUGUGGUAACACACAGUGGAGGCCCGAACCGAUAUACGUUGAAAAGUGUUCGGAUGACCUGUGGGUAGGGGUGAAAGGCCAAUCAAACUCGGAGAUAGCUGGUUCUCCGCGAAAUCUAUUUAGGUAGAGCGUCAUCCGAAUACCCCGGGGGGUAGAGCACUGGAUGGGUAAUGGGGCCCCACAGGCUUACUGAUCCUAACCAAACUCCGAAUACCCGGGAGUACUAGAUGGCAGACACACUGCGGAUGCUAACGUCCGUAGUGGAGAGGGAAACAACCCUGACCUACAGCUAAGGCCCCCAAUUCAUGGCUAAGUGGGAAAGCAGGUGGGACGACCAAAACAACCAGGAGGUUGGCUUAGAAGCAGCCACCCUUUAAAGAAAGCGUAAUAGCUCACUAGUCGAGUCGGCCUGCGCGGAAGAUGUAACGGGGCUCAAACUGGUCACCGAAGCUGCGGCUGCAUACUUUGUAUGCGGGGUAGGGGAGCGUUCUGUAAGCCUGCGAAGGUGUGUUGAGAAGCAUGCUGGAGGUAUCAGAAGUGCGAAUGCUGACAUGAGUAACGAUAAUGCGGGUGAAAAACCCGCACGCCGGAAGACCAAGGGUUCCUGCGCAACGCUAAUCGGCGCAGGGUGAGUCGGCCCCUAAGGCGAGACCGAAAGGUGUAGUCGAUGGGAAACGGGUUAAUAUUCCCGUACCUUGGAUAGCUGCGAUGGAGAGACGGAGAAGGCUAGGUGAGCCGGGCGACGGUUGUCCCGGUUUAAGCGAGUAGGGAGUGGGCUUAGGCAAAUCCGGGUCCACAAUCUCGAGACGCGACGACGACUGCUCAUAGAGCGGGAAGUCAUUGAUGCCAUGCUUCCAGGAAAAUCUUCUAAGCUUCAGGCUAUUCGAGACCGUACCCCAAACCGACACAGGUGGUCAGGUAGAGAAUACCAAGGCGCUUGAGAGAACUCGGGUAAAGGAACUAGGCAAAAUGGUGCCGUAACUUCGGGAGAAGGCACGCUGGUGGUAAGUGAAAUCCCUGCGGGUGGAGCUGAAGCCAGUCGAAGAUACCAGGCCCCUGCGACUGUUUAUUAAAAACACAGCACUGUGCAAACACGAAAGUGGACGUAUACGGUGUGACGCCUGCCCGGUGCCGGAAGGUUAAUUGAUGGGGUUAGCGUAAGCGAAGCUCUUGAUCGAAGCCCCGGUAAACGGCGGCCGUAACGAUAACGGUCCUAAGGUAGCGAAAUUCCUUGUCGGGUAAGUUCCGACCUGCACGAAUGGUGUAACCAUGGCCAUGCUGUCUCCACCCGAGACUCAGUGAAAUCGAAAUCGCAGUGAAGAUGCUGUGUACCCGCACCUAGACGGAAAGACCCCGUGAACCUUUACUACAGCUUGGCACUGAACAUUGACCCUACAUGUGUAGGAUAGGUGGGAGGCUUUGAAGCGUUGUCG